AAAUGCCGAAUGCUGAAUAAAUGGCAGAAU
rnacentral:piRNA from 1 species